UACGUAGGGUGCAAGCGUUAAUCGGAAUUACUGGGCGUAAAGCGUGCGCAGGCGGUUUUGUAAGUCAGAUGUGAAAUCCCCGGGCUUAACCUGGGAACUGCGUUUGAAACUAGAAGGCUAGAGUGUGGCAGAGGGGGGUGGAAUUCCACGUGUAGCAGUGGAAUGCGUAGAUAUGUGGAGGAAUACCGAUGGCGAAGGCAGCCCCCUGGGAUAACACUGACGCUCAUGCACGAAAGCGUGGGGAGCAAACAGG
rnacentral:rRNA from 1 species